GGGCCGCGGCGCUUCCUCCUUCCACUCGGCGGCCGGGCCGGGCCGGGCCCGGGCCCGGGGCGGCGCUCGGCGGGGCCCCGCGGGACGCGGCGCCGGCAGCCACAGCCAGCACAGGGCUGCAAGCGCCGGCACCUACCGACUUCCGCCCACCACAGGGGACGGGGCUGCUGAACGCUCACACGCGCUCCGGGGAGAUGACAGUGGACUAAUGCCCUACAAAGAAACACACCUCUCGAGCCGGCUUAACGCCUCUUGGACCAAAUCUGCACACAACCGCACACCUGAAGGAGUACGGGGCAGGUGGCGAGAGGCUUCGAUGCUGUGGAAUGGAUGAGGAACUCCAGAAAGGGUAAUUCACUACUAAAAUAGUUCACGAGUUCCCGCCACAACGCUGAAUAUGAACGAGCAGUCUCUCUGGCUACCUCUCGCGUAUUAUUUUGCGGACACAAUCCCACAGGCAACUAUCCUCACCUAACCCUGACCCUCAAAACCAGCAAGACUGCUAAGGUUUGCCAAAAACAUGCCUGUGGUUGCAGAGAUGAGAAUUAAACACCAGCUGUAGAUGCUUUGAGAUGAGCGUCCCCUCCAGUGCACGAUUUGCUCGUGCGCUCCUGCCCCCUUUGAACCAGAGACCCAAGCUCUCAGGAGGGAGGGGGCUUGGGCUCGUGAAGAAGGAGCAAGGUGGCCGCCUCCGCUCACAGGCAGAAGUCGCACACGAACACCUACAGAGCAAGCUGCCAAGACCGCCCGCAACGUGCGCCUGCUCGCUAAUUCACACACACGCUUCUCUUUUCACCACGCCGAGGACGAGGGAUCUUCACUCGGCUGCGGGAGGAUGCCGCUCCCCGGCACCGCGCGCCCACCCUCCUGCUCCGUGCUUCCGCGCAGGGAACAACGGCAGCAGGAACAGGAGAAAACGACAUGUCCACACAACGUUCCCAGCAUCCCAGGGAGCAACGUAAUCCCUGUCUACAACUUAGCACAAAGAAAAAAUCAGCUCAAUUAAGAAGAACUUAAAAGCGCACAAUCCAAAGGGCGCUCGGACUCUAAACGAAGCAGCUCCUGGCUCCGCACGGACAUCGCUGCUACCUGCACUGCACUGGAGGUACAACGCUCUUGCAGCAUCAGCUAACAGCGUAUACAGAAACGUGACAAAAAGCUGUAGAGGGGUAACAACCACCCAGACCAGGAACACUACAACUCUGGAUGAAAACAGCAGAAUAUGCAAAAGCAAUCUGGUCCACAGUAUAAAAUGGAAAGGCCUGAUCUCUUAUUCCUCAUUUUGCCAAUGACUUACUACGGUGUAUCUGAAUUCUCUAGUGACAAUUUAAGAUCUUUUUUUUAAACCA